rnacentral:tRNA from 3 species
GCGAGAGUGGCGGAAUGGCAGACGCACCAGAUUUAGGAUCUGGCGCCUUCGGGCGUGGGGGUUCAAGUCCCUUCUCUCGCACCA